rnacentral:rRNA from 1 species
CCUACGGGAGGCAGCAGUAGGGAAUAUUGCUCAAUGGGGGAAACCCUGAAGCAGCAACGCCGCGUGGAGGAUGAAGGUUUUCGGAUUGUAAACUCCUUUUGUUAGAGAAGAUAAUGACGGUAUCUAACGAAUAAGCACCGGCUAACUCAGUGCCAGCAGCCGCGGUAAUACGGAGGGUGCAAGCGUUACUCGGAAUCACUGGGCGUAAAGGGCGCGUAGGCGGGAUAGCAAGUCAGAUGUGAAAUCCUAUGGCUUAACCAUAGAACUGAAUUUGAAACUGUUAUUCUAGAGUAUGGGAGAGGUAGGUGGAAUUCUUGGUGUAGGGGUAAAAUCCGUAGAGAUCAAGAGGAAUACUCAUUGCGAAGGCGACCUGCUAGAACAUAACUGACGCUGAUGCGCGAAAGCGUGGGGAGCAAACAGGAUUAGAUACCCCUGUAGUC